CAGGACUCUCAAAAGAACAGAGUUUCCUUCUGAGGGAAAACUAAAGUCUUUCACCCAGGAAAUGCUUGUUCCUUAGGAGUCUUUUAAUCCAAACCAUAAGCUUUUUCCUUAUCUUAACUGGUUGUUCUUUUUUACUUAAUCUUAAGUUUUGUCGGAGCAAAAUGGUCAUAUUAAGUGGACUAAAUUUAACCGUAAUGUCUGCCAAAACGACUAGCAGCUCGCGGUGCUUUGUACCCGGCUCAAAGUCACCUAUUUUCGCGUAACUAAACCACCAACUCCCGCUGAGACAACCGAGGCCUGA